UCACUUACAUGCUGGGUAGCUCAGUCUGGAGAGCAGGAGACCCUUAAUCUCAGGGUUGUGAGUUCAAGCCCCACAUUGGGUGAA
rnacentral:tRNA from 1 species